GAUGAACGCUGACAGAAUGCUUAACACAUGCAAGUCUACUUGAAUUUGGGUUUUUAACUUAGGUUUGGGUGGCGGACGGGUGAGUAACGCGUAAAGAACUUGCCUCACAGCUAGGGACAACAUUUGGAAACGAAUGCUAAUACCUAAUAUUAUGAUAAUAGGGCAUCAUAUAAUUAUGAAAGCUAUAAGCGCUGUGAGAGAGCUUUGCGUCCCAUUAGCUAGUUGGAGAGGUAACGGCUCACCAAGGCGAUGAUGGGUAGCCGGCCUGAGAGGGUGAUCGGCCACAAGGGGACUGAGACACGGCCCUUACUCCUACGGGAGGCAGCAGUGGGGAAUAUUGGACAAUGGACCAAGAGUCUGAUCCAGCAAUUCUGUGUGCACGAUGAAGUUUUUCGGAAUGUAAAGUGCUUUCAGUUGGGAAGAAAGAAAUGACGGUACCAACAGAAGAAGUGACGGCUAAAUACGUG
rnacentral:rRNA from 1 species